AUUGAACGCUGGCGGCAGGCCUAACACAUGCAAGUCGAGCGGAUGAAGGGAGCUUGCUCCUGGAUUCAGCGGCGGACGGGUGAGUAAUGCCUAGGAAUCUGCCUGGUAGUGGGGGAUAACGUCCGGAAACGGGCGCUAAUACCGCAUACGUCCUGAGGGAGAAAGUGGGGGAUCUUCGGACCUCGCGCUAUCAGAUGAGCCUAGGUCGGAUUAGCUAGUUGGUGGGGUAAAGGCCUACCAAGGCGACGAUCCGUAACUGGUCUGAGAGGAUGAUCAGUCACACUGGAACUGAGAUACGGUCCAGACUCCUACGGGAGGCAGCAGUGGGGAAUAUUGGACAAAGGGCGAAAGCCUGAUCCAGCCAUGCCGCGUGUGUGAAGAAGGUCUUCGGAUUGUAAAGCACUUUAAGUUGGGAGGAAGGGCAGUAAGUUAAUACCUUGCUGUUUUGACGUUACCAACAGAAUAAGCACCGGCUAACUUCGUG
rnacentral:rRNA from 1 species